rnacentral:rRNA from 1 species
UACAGAGGGUGCAAGCGUUGUUCGGAAUUACUGGGCGUAAAGCGCGCGUAGGUGGCUUCGUAAGUCCGCUGUGAAAGUCAAAGGCUCAACCUUUGAAAGCCGGUGGAUACUGCGGGGCUAGAGUACGGAAGAGGCGAGUGGAAUUCCUGGUGUAGCGGUGGAAUGCGCAGAUAUCAGGAGGAACACCAAUAGCGAAGGCAGCUCGCUGAGACGUUACUGACACUGAGGCGCGAAAGCGUGGGGAGCGAACAGG